rnacentral:tRNA from 1 species
GGGGUCUUAGCUUAGCUGGUAGAGCGCUUCAUUUGCAAUGAAGAGGUCAAGGGUUCGAAUCCCUUAGACUCCA